GAAUCCUGCUCUUCCCA
rnacentral:misc_RNA from 1 species